rnacentral:rRNA from 1 species
AGGAACAACAGGGAUUGCCUCAGUAACGGCGAGUGAAGCGGCAACAGCUCAAAUUUGAAAUCUGGCUCCUUCGGGGUCCGAGUUGUAAUUUGCAGAGGAUGUUUCGGGUGAGGCGCCGACCUAAGUUCCUUGGAACAGGACGUCAUAGAGGGUGAGAAUCCCGUAUGUGGUCGGCGGUCGAUCCCAUGUGAAACUCCUUCGACGAGUCGAGUUGUUUGGGAAUGCAGCUCCAAAUGGGUGGUAAAUUUCAUCUAAAGCUAAAUACCGGCCAGAGACCGAUAGCGCACAAGUAGAGUGAUCGAAAGAUGAAAAGCACUUUGGAAAGAGAGUUAAAAAGUACGUGAAAUUGUUGAAAGGGAAGCGCUUGCCACCAGACUUGCUCGUGGGUGAUCAGCCGUCCUUCUGGGCGGUGCACUCGCCCGCGAUCAGGCCAGCAUCGGUUUGAGCGGUCGGAUAAAGACCUCCGGAACGUAGCUCCCCUCGGGGAGUGUUAUAGCCGGGGGUGCAAUGCGACCCGUUCGGACCGAGGACCGCGCUUCGGCUAGGAUGCUGGCGUAAUGGUUGCAAGCGACCCGUCUUGAAACACGGACCAUGAGUCUAACAUCUAUGCGAGUGUUUGGGUGUCAAACCCACACGCGGAAUGAAAGUGAACGAGGUGGGAACCCUCACGGU